GUGUCAGCCGCCGCGGUAAUACGGAGGAUCCAAGCGUUAUCCGGAUUUAUUGGGUUUAAAGGGUGCGUAGGUGGGAUGAUAAGUCAGAGGUGAAAGCUAGCAGCUUAACUGUUAAAUUGCCUUUGAUACUGUUAUUCUUGAGUAUAGUUGGCGUUGGCGGAAUGUGACAUGUAGCGGUGAAAUGCGUAGAUAUGUCACAGAACACCGAUCGCGAAGGCAGCUAACGAAACUAUCACUGACACUGAUGCACGAAAGCGUGGGGAGCAAACAGGAUUAGAUACCCGUGUAGUCC
rnacentral:rRNA from 1 species